CAAAGUUAGAGAGAGAAAAAAAAAGAGAGAUAAUAAAAGAAAAAGAGCGAAAAAAGGUGCCUACCCAAGAAAACUCAGGGAAUUUGAGAGUUUUUCCUUGAGAAAAAUCUGCCUGGAUUGGAAGACGAAGGGAGAGGAAGGAAGAAGGAAGGAAGAAACCAAAAGAAAAGAGAUAAAAAGAGGGAGAAAACUCAUAACCAACACAAGGGAACUUGCAAGCUUAAGGUUAGAAAUAGCUCAAAAACAUCCCAGAAUUCUGUUGAAUUUUUUGGAGAAAAAGGCUCAAAAUUAAGCCAGAACUCUGGUGGAGUUAAAGUUGCAAGUGAUAUGAGAGACCGCUGAGGAAUAAGCGGUAAUAGCAGAGAAGUCUUUUGCAAAUUAGAAUCUAUAAGAACUCAGAUUAAUAUUUUAUAUAUUUGCUUCAUAAUGUAAGAAAGAAAAAUUUUAGAGUCUUGUUUUGUAUGUAUCUAUUGUACAUAUAUCAAGGAAUGUAACACUUUUGUAUUUCUGUAUUAAUUAAAGUCUCAUUAUGUUUUAUUUAAUUUAGUGUAAAGUGUAGUGUGCUUCGAACACACCCUAUAAGAGGGGGGUCGCCGCAAAA